CCAAUAGCGUAUAUUAAAGUUGCUGCAGUUAAAAAGCUCGUAGUUGAAUUUCGGGACCAAUAUGUCGGUCGUGCUUUUGUACGUACUGAUAUAAUUGGUUUCUCCCUUCUGAAGAACCUUGAUGUCAUUAAUUUGGUGUCUUGGGGAAUCAGGACUGUUACUUUGAAAAAAUUAGAGUGUUUAAAGCAGGCUCGCGCUGGAAUACAUUAGCAUGGAAUAAUGAAAUAGGACGUUUGAUUCUAUUUUGUUGGUUUCUAGGAUCGACGUAAUGAUUAAUAGGGAUAGUUGGGGGCAUUAGUAUUCAAUUGUCAGAGGUGAAAUUCUUGGAUGUAUUGAAGACUAACUACUGCGAAAGCAUUUGCCAAGGAUGUUUUCAUUAAUCAAGAACGAAAGUUAGGGGAUCGAAGACGAUCAGAUACCGUCGUAGUCUUAACCAUAAACUAUGCCGACUAGGGAUCGGAUGAUGUUAAUUUUUUAAUGACUCAUUCGGCGCCUUACG
rnacentral:misc_RNA from 1 species